UCGAUUCCCUUAGUAGCGGCGAGCGAAACGGGAAGAGCCCAAACCAACAAGCUUGCUUGUUGGGGUUGUAGGACACUCUAUACGGAGUUACAAAGGACGACAUUAGACGAAUCAUCUGGAAAGAUGAAUCAAAGAAGGUAAUAAUCCUGUAGUCGAAAAUGUUGUCUCUCUUGAGUGGAUCCUGAGUACGACGGAGCACGUGAAAUUCCGUCGGAAUCUGGGAGGACCAUCUCCUAAGGCUAAAUACUCUCUAGUGACCGAUAGUGAACCAGUACCGUGAGGGAAAGGUGAAAAGCACCCCGGAAGGGGAGUGAAAUAGAACCUGAAACCGUGUGCUUACAAGUAGUCAGAGCCCGUUAAUGGGUGAUGGCGUGCCUUUUGUAGAAUGAACCGGCGAGUUACGAUUUGAUGCAAGGUUAAGCAGUAAAUGUGGAGCCGUAGCGAAAGCGAGUCUGAAUAGGGCGUUUAGUAUUUGGUCGUAGACCCGAAACCAGGUGAUCUACCCUUGGUCAGGUUGAAGUUCAGGUAACACUGAAUGGAGGACCGAACCGACUUACGUUGAAAAGUGAGCGGAUGAACUGAGGGUAGCGGAGAAAUUCCAAUCGAACCUGGAGAUAGCUGGUUCUCUCCGAAAUAGCUUUAGGGCUAGCCUCAAGUGAUGAUUAUUGGAGGUAGAGCACUGUUUGGACGAGGGGCCCCUCUCGGGUUACCGAAUUCAGACAAACUCCGAAUGCCAAUUAAUUUAACUUGGGAGUCAGAACAUGGGUGAUAAGGUCCGUGUUCGAAAGGGAAACAGCCCAGACCACCAGCUAAGGUCCCAAAAUAUAUGUUAAGUGGAAAAGGAUGUGGCGUUGCCCAGACAACUAGGAUGUUGGCUUAGAAGCAGCCAUCAUUUAAAGAGUGCGUAAUAGCUCACUAGUCGAGUGACACUGCGCCGAAAAUGUACCGGGGCUAAACAUAUUACCGAAGCUGUGGAUUGUCCUUUGGACAAUGGUAGGAGAGCGUUCUAAGGGCGUUGAAGCAUGAUCGUAAGGACAUGUGGAGCGCUUAGAAGUGAGAAUGCCGGUGUGAGUAGCGAAAGACGGGUGAGAAUCCCGUCCACCGAUUGACUAAGGUUUCCAGAGGAAGGCUCGUCCGCUCUGGGUUAGUCGGGUCCUAAGCUGAGGCCGACAGGCGUAGGCGAUGGAUAACAGGUUGAUAUUCCUGUACCACCUAUAAUCGUUUUAAUCGAUGGGGGGACGCAGUAGGAUAGGCGAAGCGUGCGAUUGGAUUGCACGUCUAAGCAGUAAGGCUGAGUAUUAGGCAAAUCCGGUACUCGUUAAGGCU
rnacentral:rRNA from 1 species